rnacentral:tRNA from 1 species
AAUGAAGUGUCUGAUUAAAGAGUUAUUUUGAUAGAGUAAAUUAUGUGUUGUUACACCUUCAUUA